AUUGAACGCUGGCGGCAUGCUUUACACAUGCAAGUCGAACGGUAACAGGCCGCAAGGUGCUGACGAGUGGCGAACGGGUGAGUAAUGCAUCGGAACGUGCCCAGUCGUGGGGGAUAACUACUCGAAAGAGUAGCUAAUACCGCAUACGAUCUAUGGAUGAAAGCGGGGGACCGUAAGGCCUCGCGCGAUUGGAGCGGCCGAUGUCAGAUUAGGUAGUUGGUGGGGUAAAGGCUCACCAAGCCAACGAUCUGUAGCUGGUCUGAGAGGACGACCAGCCACACUGGGACUGAGACACGGCCCAGACUACUACGGGAGGCAGCAGUGGGGAAUUUUGGACAAUGGGCGCAAGACUGAUCCAGCAAUGCCGCGUGCAGGAAGAAGGCCUUCGGGUUGUAAACUGCUUUUGUACGGAACGAAACGGCUCUGGUUAAUACCCGGGGAUAAUGACGGUACCGGAAGAAUAAGCACCGGCUAACUACGUG
rnacentral:rRNA from 1 species